GCCGUAAUCUCGCUGACUUGCGACGUAGCCAGCCCAGAGGGACGUUUACCAUGAGCACCACCCUGAGGCUGGGCAAACAGAUCCUUCAGUCCAUUGAAGCCAUCCAUUCUGUUGGGUUUCUGCAUCGUGACAUCAAGCCGUCCAACUUUGCAAUGGGACGUUUACCAUCGACCUACAGAAAGUGCUACAUGUUGGACUUUGGUCUAGCACGACAGUACACCAACACGAAUGGGGAGGUCCGGCCGUUUCUUUUGGAUUGUUGAUUCUUGUGUUCCGUCCUGCUGCCUUUGUUUGAUGAUCAGAUCUCCUGUCCCCUGCAUGUGCCCAUGGCUGUGUAAGGUGACAGCACUGUAGGAGUCUUUCAGCAGCAGCAGUGCUUGUCGCUACUUCAGUCAGUUUUACUGGACAGGCCCCUCUCUGACCCACAGCAGGACCUGCCUUCCAGCACACUCUCAGGCCAGUACCAUCAGGUGGGCAGGGGGUUGGAGUACCCUAGGAAUCUGGGUUCAGCCUGGGAGACCGGGGUCAGGGUUCAGG